UAGGGAAUCUUCGGCAAUGGACGGAAGUCUGACCGAGCAACGCCGCGUGAGUGAAGAAGGUUUUCGGAUCGUAAAGCUCUGUUGUAAGAGAAGAACGAGUGUGAGAGUGGAAAGUUCACACUGUGACGGUAUCUUACCAGAAAGGGACGGCUAACUACGUGCCAGCAGCCGCGGUAAUACGUAGGUCCCGAGCGUUGUCCGGAUUUAUUGGGCGUAAAGCGAGCGCAGGCGGUUAGAUAAGUCUGAAGUUAAAGGCUGUGGCUUAACCAUAGUACGCUUUGGAAACUGUUUAACUUGAGUGCAAGAGGGGAGAGUGGAAUUCCAUGUGUAGCGGUGAAAUGCGUAGAUAUAUGGAGGAACACCGGUGGCGAAAGCGGCUCUCUGGCUUGUAACUGACGCUGAGGCUCGAAAGCGUGGGGAGCAAACAGAAUUAGAUACCCUGGUAGUCCACGCCGUAAACGAUGAGUGCUAGGUGUUAGACCCUUUCCGGGGUUUAGUGCCGUAGCUAACGCAUUAAGCACUCCGCCUGGGGAGUACGACCGCAAGGUUG
rnacentral:rRNA from 1 species